ensembl:lncRNA
AUGCACAGAAGUCACGCCGAGCCACAGGAAGCUACAGCUGAGGGGAGGAGAGCCUCAUGCCAUGCAGGAAGGAAGGAGGCACGCUGGGCCUCCAGGGUCCCAGCCCUGGAGGAGACUAUCUGGUAUGCACACAGUGUGAGAAUCCGGAGGAAGGCGGAGGGCUGGGGAGCAAAGAUACUCAGGGAGCCUCCAGGCCUACUGGGGACACACCUCAGCCCACCCAGCCUGACUGGUGCCUUGAGCCCUACUAGCCAGGUAAACAAGCCCUUCCUGCUCUCUGAUAUCUCCAGUGGAUCGAUAGGUACUCCUUGGGCAGGCUGGGCCUUGUAGACUGCUGAUUAGCUUUCCCUUUCACAGAACAAGAUUUCCCUUCUGGGGACCACUGUUCCACCCAAGCACAGACUGGCUUUGCAACCAGACUCUUCCCCAGGCAGGAUGUGGGAGGGGAACCUGGCCUGGGGCCAGAUGAUGGCCACCUCCCCAGCCACCUGCAGGUUCCUACCCAACCAGGGGUUAGCAUCUCAUACAUUGUUUAUGAAGCUUUUGUCUUGGGCUCAAGGUGAGCCAGGGAAUCAGAGAGAGAAAUAAAUAAAUAAAUAAUUCUAAGCAGAGCUGAGCUUAGGGACAGGAGGGAGGGCUGCAGGGGUUGUUUAUCUUGGGGGCUUGCAUAUUUUAUCACCCUGCAGUCUCAUGACCCCUCUUCCCUCCCCUCCCCUCUCUCCUGAUGUUGCUGUGAUGAGAGUUUAUAUUAUCCAGCACACACUGGUUUGUAAGUCUAUUUACAACCCAGGCGUUGUUGGUUUGCGUGAGAGAGAGAGAUGGCCCAUCCCCAGAUUAGUGAAAUUGGAAAUAAAUUGGUUGUUAAAUAAAAGCCCUCUGUGGGAUGUGACAGUGAUGAAUGAGGGAUGGAUGUGCCUGGGGAAGGGAGUGGUGGCUUUCUGGAUUGAGACUGUUUGAAGCUGAAGUGGCCCAGGAGGCUUGGGUGGGAGCCUGGGAAGGGUUUGGGGCCUGAGGACAGAGAAUGGUCAGGCAGUGGUGGGCCCUGAAAUACAUUUAUAGAGGGAAAUUGAAGGCUGAAGACUUGAGCACCCUCUAGAACUAUAUUUUAUUUUCUUGUGGCUCAAAUAGCACUUUUGUGUCUUUGAUUUUAGAAUUUUGCAACAUAUUUUUCUUACUUUACAGAUGGAGGAAACUGUAGUGAAAUCACUUGCCUGUGGUCAUUGUCAAAUAAAAACCAAAUCUGGACUUAGUAAGGAAGGAUUUUAUUUAAAAGGAUUGUUGCAGGGUGGGGAAAGUGAUUAUUGCAGCAGGGAGCUUCUCUGACCCUAAGAUCUGCAGGCAUCCCAAGAGUUAGGCGAACAGGGGUUUUUUUCAUAGACAGGAGUAAACAGGCAAGAAUAAAUGAGGUGUGAGAAGGGGGAUGAAUGGGUGGCCUGAUCCCACAGGAAUCUGAAGACUGUUUCUCUGAGGCCAGACUAUUUUGCAGGCUCGGGCUGAGGGCGGGCCAGAGUUCAGAACCUGGAGGAAGGAGAGAAGUUUCACCAGAGUUUGGUUAACAAGCAUUUUGUUCUUAUUAGUCAGUGGGGACAAGCAUUCAACUAAUCAUUUAUGUGGCAAAGAAAGGGACUGCGGAGGGUCUGUGUCUGGCCUUGGCAUAAGUAAACAAGACGGGGGUGGGGGGUGGGGCACGCAUCUGUGAGUCCUAUCUAAGUUACAAGGAAAGCGUUUUUGUUUUUAUAGGUACACUGUUUUCCAGAAUAAAAAGUUGAGUGCAUUUCCUAACCUUCACUGUUUUCUAGGAUUACAGGGCUCAGAUAAAAGUCAACAUUAUCAUCAUGCAGUUGCACAUUGCAGUGUUAGGGUAACUGAGUCCAAAGCUCACCUCACAGCAGUCAAUAAGUCACGAGACAAGGUGUUGGGGGCAGGAAAGUGACUUUAUCUCAGAGAGCCAGCAAGCCAAGAAGAUGGUGGAAUAAUGCCCUAAAGAACCAUCUUGAAAGGCAUAGACCUGGCCGGGCGCGGUGGCUCAAGCCUGUAAUCCCAGCACUUUGGGAGGCCGAGACGGGCGGAUCACAAGGUCAGGAGAUCGAGACCAUCCUGGCUAACACAGUGAAACCCCGUCUCUACUAAAAAUACAAAAAAAACUUAGCCGGGCGAGGUGGCAGGCGCCUGUAGUCCCAGCUACUCGGGAGGCUGAGGCAGGAGAAUGGCGUGAACCCGGGAGGCGGAGCUUGCAGUGAGCUGAGAUCCGGCCACUGCACUCCAGCCUGGGUGACAGAGCGAGACUCCAUCGCAAAAAAAAAAAAAAAAAAGAAAGGCAUAGACCUUGAGCUUUUUUUCAUAUGGGGAAGGGGGAGCAAGGAGGGUUGGAGGUCAGGAGGUGACAGGUGACCACAGAUAUCUGGGCAUCAACAGUAGUCCAAGGGGUUUGCAUCACUUCUUUGUCCUUGGUCAGGUCACAAUGCUCCUAUAAAUCUUAUUUAUUUAUUUAUUUAUUCAUUUAUUUAUUUAUUUUUGAGACAGGGUCUCGCUCUGUCACCCAGGCUCACUGCAACUUCCACCUCCUGGUCUCAAGCAAUUCUCCCAUCUCAGCCUCCUGAGUAGCUGGGACUACACGUGUGCGCCACCGUCCUCAGUUAAUUUUUUGUAUUUUUAUGUAGAGAUGGGAGUAUCAUCGUGUUGUCCAGGCUGGUCUUCACUGUUGGAUUCAAGCAAUUCUCCUACUCUAGCCUCCCAAAGUGCUAGGAUUAUAGGUGUGAGCCACUGCCUCUGCCCAGCCUCACCUAGAAAUCUUUAGUGUAACAUUAUUACUUGCGUGUGUGCACUUCUUAAUCUCUUUGGAGGUUAGUUUUAGGAAAGAGCUAUUAUCAUCCUUACUUUAAAGUUAAACUAUAAAGUAAAUUCCUCCCAUUUUGACUACCAGCAGAAAUGAGCAAAGACAACCUGUGAGUUUAGAAGCAAGAUGGAGUCAACUGUGUUAGAGUUCUCUCACUGUUAUAUUCGGCCUGGAAUUCAGACUCUGGCCUCCCAGAGACUUAUAUGGUUCUUCAUCCUCUUACCUCUUUCAUAUCUAAACAGUCGUCUUUCUCUCCAUUCUCCUCCUAUUAAAACCUGCUGUCAAGAAUAAAGAAGCCGGCAGCAGCCUAAACUGUCACCCUGCCCAGGGAAAUUUGUGUUUAACUAGGGACCAGAGCUUUAACUUUUAGAAUUGAGAAAGAGAGUCCUUUCCAGGAUUAACUUGUCCUGACUUUCCUUUUCUUUCAUCACUAUCACAGGGUCACUUCUGCCUGAACUUGGGAGGGAUAAUAGAUGAUAAGGAGUUGGUUGAUAACAGGUCACUGAAGCAAAGAAUCUCAGGGCUGAAUGGGAGGAAACUUAGAAUAUCUGGCACAAUCUCCCACUAUGCAGAUGGGAAAAGUGAGGACCAAAUAGGAGAAGGGACAGUAGCCAGGCUUGAUACUAAACAAGGAUCUUCCUAUCUGUUCAUGUUAUGGAGGGAACAAAGGGGGCACACGACUCUCCUCCUCUCCCAUGAGCACCAAGUCCUCCCUUUCCUAACACCCCACCUUCCCGCACAGAGUUCCUGGGUGAACCAGUGGUUAUCAGAUUUUAGCAGGAGUAACAAUCACUCGGUGUGCCGGAUGUGGAUGCCUGCAUAUCUGCUGUCCUCCUAGAUUAUGUAGGAAUGGAUCCCAGUUAUCUGCAUUUUGCCUAGAUUCUGAUGAGGCUGUUUGAGAACCACACAUUUUGGAAACACUGGCAGAGGACAGUGUGAGUCCAAGAAAGGUGAACAGGCCAGGUGCGGUGGCUCACACCUGUAAUUCCACACUUUGGGAGGCCAAGGUGAGCGGAUCACCUGAGGUCAGCAGUUUGAGACCAGCCUGGCCAACAUGGUGAAACCCAUUUCUACUAAAAAUACAAAAAUUAGCCAGGGUGUGGUGGCGCACACCUGUAGUCCUGGCUACUUGGGAGGCUGAGACAGGAGAAUUGCUUGAACUCAGGAGGUGGAGGUUGUGGUGAGCCAAGAUCAUGCCACUGCAUUCCAGCCUGGGCCACAGAGUGAGACUCCGUCUCCAAAAACAAAACAAAACAAAACAAACAACAACAAAAAAACUAAAUGUAGAUAGAAUGUCCUGGAGGCUCGGCCAGCCUGGGCAAUCAAGGACUCUGUGGAUUGAGCAGGGAGCCAGGCAAGCUUGGAGGUUGGCGGGAUGGCGACCUGUAUUUCCCACCUCUAGAAGCUGUUGAUGGGUAGGGCAGCCCUCCUUUCUCCCCUUAUUUCCUCCUCGUACCAUCACAGAGAUGGAGCCUCGGGGAGGGGAGCUGUUCUUCAGCGGAAUUAAAGACUCUUCCCUGAAAGGUAACAAAUUCCUCACUAAUUAUGCCAUUAUUUUAUUAUGCAGCCUUAAUGAAAAAAAAUACACAAAC